CCGGUGUUAUGGGCUACGAGAUAUCUAUAAGAUAUCUACGAGACUACAAGGCUAAUUAGUAUGACCAUGCCUCAUGUCAAGGGUAAUGCGGAUGCUACUAUGACCAUGACACGUGUCGGGAUAGUAAGCGCACCAAUAAUUACAGUGCACUAAUGAUGCAUUUGAGAUGUUAUUACACAUUCUCAAAUUCGUGUCCGAAUUUGCAACAACAACAACAAGGACACCUGGUUUUACCCAGAAGGCGAAAACACUACGUAAACAAGAGACGCACCACAAUAUAUAAGGGAGCCCGAAGACCAGCAACGGCAGAUGUACCAAAGCUAUCAACAACAGAGCACUUUCACGUCACUCAGCCACUUAUUUAAUUUGUUACAUGUAUUUUGUUUGUAUGCAAUAAAACAUAUUACGUUAUUAA